rnacentral:piRNA from 1 species
UGGCUGGUGCUUUGAGGAGAGAGUAGCAAG